AUUGAACGCUGGCGGCAUGCCUUACACAUGCAAGUCGAACGGCAGCACGGACUUCGGUCUGGUGGCGAGUGGCGAACGGGUGAGUAAUGUAUCGGAACGUACCUUUCAGUGGGGGAUAACGUAGCGAAAGUUACGCUAAUACCGCAUAUUCUGUGAGCAGGAAAGCAGGGGAUCGCAAGACCUUGCGCUGAUUGAGCGGCCGAUAUCAGAUUAGCUAGUUGGUGGGGUAAAGGCCUACCAAGGCUACGAUCUGUAGCGGGUCUGAGAGGAUGAUCCGCCACACUGGAACUGAGACACGGUCCAGACUCCUACGGGAGGCAGCAGUGGGGAAUUUUGGACAAUGGGGGCAACCCUGAUCCAGCCAUGCCGCGUGAGUG
rnacentral:rRNA from 1 species